UUCCUUGUAGCUCAGUUGGUAAAGAAUCUGCCUUUAAUGCAGGAGACCCCAGUUUGAUUUCUAGGUAAGGAAG
rnacentral:tRNA from 1 species